UACGUAGGGGGCGAGCGUUGUCCGGAGUUACUGGGCGUAAAGCGCACGCAGGCGGUCUGCUAAGUUUGGAGUGACAGUUGGUGGCUUAACUGCCAAAGUGCUUCGAAAACUGACAGACUUGAGGGCUUCAGAGGGACACGGAAUUCCGGGUGGAGUGGUGAAAUGCGUAGAGAUCUGGAAGAACACCAAAGGCGAAGGCAGCAUCCUGGGAAGUUCCUGACGCUCGGGUGCGAAAGCCAGGGGAGCGAACGGG
rnacentral:rRNA from 1 species